GGAAGUGCCCAGCCCGCUGGUGGGGCUCCCGGACUUCAAAUCCGGUGGGGGGCAGUGAAGGCUGUCCCCGGUGGGUUCGAUUCCCAUGCACUUCC
rnacentral:tRNA from 1 species